rnacentral:miRNA from 1 species
GCGGGCGGCGGCGGCGGCGGCAGCAGCAGCAGGUGCGGGGCGGCGGCCGCGCUGGCCGCUCGACUCCGCAGCUGCUCGUUCUGCUUCUCCAGCUUGCGCACCAGCUCC